rnacentral:rRNA from 1 species
UGGGGAAUUUUGGACAAUGGGCGAAAGCCUGAUCCAGCAAUGCCGCGUGUGUGAAGAAGGCCUUCGGGUUGUAAAGCACUUUUGUCCGGAAAGAAAUCCUUGGCUCUAAUACAGUCGGGGGAUGACGGUACCGGAAGAAUAAGCACCGGCUAACUACGUGCCAGCAGCCGCGGUAAUACGUAGGGUGCAAGCGUUAAUCGGAAUUACUGGGCGUAAAGCGUGCGCAGGCGGUUUGCUAAGACCGAUGUGAAAUCCCCGGGCUCAACCUGGGAACUGCAUUGGUGACUGGCAGGCUAGAGUAUGGCAGAGGGGGGUAGAAUUCCACGUGUAGCAGUGAAAUGCGUAGAGAUGUGGAGGAAUACCGAUGGCGAAGGCAGCCCCCUGGGCCAAUACUGACGCUCAUGCACGAAAGCGUGGGGAGCAAACAGGAUUAGAUACCCUGGUAGUCCACGCCCUAAACGAUGUCACUAGUUGUUGGGGAUUCAUUUCCUUAGUAACGUAGCUAACGCGUGAAGUUGACCGCCUGGGGAGUACGGUCGCAAGAUUAAACUCAAUG